rnacentral:lncRNA from 12 species
ACCACCCACCCACGCACCCCGCCCCGACUCGCCCCGACCACCACGGCAGAGAGAACAAAAGCACGACUCACAUGGACCCGAGAACUCGCCUUAGGCUCGAGGCUUCGUCUCCCAAAUUACAGUCUCCAUGCCUCAGGUUAAGUGAGCUUGUGGGGAGGGGAGGCAAUGAUUACCGACUAACGCUACGACGUAAUCGAUAAAUAAUUUUUUUUUUUUUUUUUUGGCCAGGUCUGAAGGGGAGGCCGCUCCAGGUAAUUUCUGAACCUCCUAAGGAGCCCGCACAGCUCGCGUCUCCGGGAAACUGCCUGCCCCGCAGCGGGUGCGGCCCGGCGUCGGCGCGCUCACCUUCUCGGGGGGCGCCGCCAGCUCCGGCACGUCCUUGCCUUCUAGGGUGCACGCAAACAUCUGAUCGCUCUUCCAAUACAUGGCACUUCUGGGGCUGCUUGUCACAUCCCAGCUCCGCAGGGUCAGCGGCCGUCCGAGCCUGCCGGGGGGGGCCCCCCCUCCCACCCCGCCCCGCCCCAGGGCACCGCGGACAGGAGCAAGGCCGCGGGCUGAGUCCCCGUCCAGACAGGCCGCUGUGCCUGUGUCCGGUCCGGCGCACUGUUCUCUAGAUUCUCAUCCCAACUUCACUGAGAAUCCGAUGACUAAUCAUCAGCGAGUGGAUCAAAGCCUGGACAGAACACGUGAACACCUCUCUCUGUCUCCUGCGUUGCAAAUGUCCACACUGUCUUCUGGAACUUUUCCUUUGGCUUGGACCAAAGUUCGGGUCAUUGCAUGGAGCGUGGCAGCGGCGAUGGUGCUGGGCUCUGGCUGUGCGCAGGUCAUCUCGCCACACCCUCCCUCGCCACUGCAGAGAAGCCUUCUGGAAUAGUUUUCCUGGACACAGAUGAGUGAAUACAAUUGACCCCACCAGAUCUUCCUGCAGGCUGGAGCGCCCUGGGGCAGGCACCUUGUGCUGCUCCGGGUCCUGGAACCUAGUCAGUGCCUGGCCCCCGGCAAUAAAGAUGGCUUUUUGAAUGACCGAGAGUGUGUG